rnacentral:rRNA from 1 species
AACGAACGCUGGCGGCAUGCCUAACACAUGCAAGUCGAACGAAGUCUUCGGACUUAGUGGCGCACGGGUGAGUAACGCGUGGGAACCUGCCCUUCGGUACGGAAUAACGUCGGGAAACUGACGCUAAUACCGUAUAUGUCUCCGGAUGAAAGAUUUAUCGGCCGGGGGGAGGGCCCGCGUCCGAUUAGCUAGUUGGUGAG